GAUGAACGCUGGCGGCGUGCCUAAUACAUGCAAGUCGAGCGAACAGAUAAGGAGCUUGCUCCUUUGACGUUAGCGGCGGACGGGUGAGUAACACGUGGGUAACCUACCUAUAAGACUGGGAUAACUUCGGGAAACCGGAGCUAAUACCGGAUAACAUUUGGAACCGCAUGGUUCUAAGGUGAAAGAUGGUUUUGCUAUCACUUAUAGAUGGACCCGCGCCGUAUUAGCUAGUUGGUAAGGUAACGGCUUACCAAGGCAACGAUACGUAGCCGACCUGAGAGGGUGAUCGGCCACACUGGAACUGAGACACGGUCCAGACUCCUACGGGAGGCAGCAGUAGGGAAUCUUCCGCAAUGGGCGAAAGCCUGACGGAGCAACGCCGCGUGAGUGAUGAAGGGUUUCGGCUCGUAAAACUCUGUUAUUAGGGAAGAACAAACGUGUAAGUAACUGUGCACGUCUUGACGGUACCUAAUCAGAAAGCCACGGCUAACUACGU
rnacentral:rRNA from 1 species